AUAUAUAUAGUAUAAAAAAUUAUAUUUAACUUCCAAUUAAAAGAUUUAAUCUAAUAUAUAUA
rnacentral:tRNA from 1 species